rnacentral:lncRNA from 1 species
AGGAAAUCCCUCUGUCAUCUGCCGCUGUUUGGGGCCAAAAGCUUGAACUGUGAUGAAUUUUGUGAAAGGGAGAACUGCCUCAUUCUGCCAAAGCCGUUCAGAAGUGAGUCACUAGCCCAGAACAGGCCCCACAUAGCUGCACCAGCUCAGACUCCAUCUAGCUGCACCUGCAGGAGCUAAGGCUCGAGGUGGACAUCGGGCCUGGGCCCCAGGGCAGAGUCAUGACCAACAGGGGGCAGCCCAGGGAGCUACUCCCCAGCCUUCAGUGGGCCCCACUUCCCUUCCCUCCUCCCCUCCCUGAAGGCCCCUCCCAGACCGCUUGGCCUCCGGCCUUGCCUCCUCCAACCUGAUCUCCUGGGGUUGCUCAAGGGUCUCCUCUAAAAAGCAAAUCCGGUCUUGUCUUUCCCCUGCCUGCCGCAUUCCGUGGCUCCUCACUGCUCUCAGGAGAAAGACCAAAGUCCCUGUGUGCUCCCAAGCCCUCUCCUGAUGAUGCAGAGGCGUGGCCCAUAGGGACUGAGAGCUGCUCACUUCAGGCAGAAGCCAGGCAUCCUGGCAGCCCCUGAGAGCCGCCCAGCUGGCCAGAAGGACCUGCUCCCAGGCCUCCCUUUCCCUGUAAUUCAUAUAUAGAAAGCAUCUAAAUCAGGAGCCAACCCUCCACCAGAGGGAGCGGCGCCCUGGAGGUGGAAGUGGAGCUUUUCUUAGUCAUUACAUUUGGUUUUGUUUUGGGGGAAAAAAACAAAAUGAAACAAUUAAGGUCUUAUUUUCACAAUCACCUGUGGAAUGAGGAGGCUUCCAGAUGGUAUUUGGUGAGAGCACCAGGAACCUUGUGGUCCUGUGAGGGCAUUCAGGGGUAGGGAGUCUAACUCAUCACCCAAUCCUCAUGGCUCCAACUUUAAACACACCCAGAAGCCUAUCUCGUCCCCCAGCCCAGCUCCGUCGCCUGCACCUGGUCCAAGCUGAGGCCCCUCUGCCCCAGCCUCCUGGUUGCCCCACUGUUUCUGCCCUGGGCCUGCUCCAGUCCCUUCUCACGGACAGCCAGAGCCAAGCCUCUGCUCCAGUAAGGGAUCUCUCCAAAGGCUCCUGUCUCCCUCCGGGUAAGGCCAGGGUCCUAAUCACGGCCCACAGAGGCCGACACCACCGCCUCUGACCUCCCUCCCUCUGUCUCCAGCUUUCCUGGGAUCCCGCCUGGGAUCCCCUCUGCCCAGCACUCAGACCUCCUGCACCAGCUGUUCCCCUGCCUGGAACAUUCUCCACUCCCCCCAGGUCCACAGGGUCUGAGCCUCAUGUCCUACAGAUGUCACUCAAAGGGUGGCCCUUCACUGGCUUCCCUGAUGGCACCACUUCCUGCCCACUGGUCCUUCUCCCCCUCCCUCACUCUGCCUCAUCUAGCCCUGGACACUCCACCAAUCUGAUACAUCUUUAUUUCUCUGUUUAUUGUCUAGUUUCCCUCCAUGCCCACCAGGAUGUAAGCUCUGAGAGCAGGGGCUUUGUUUCAUUCGCUGCCAUAAUUCCAGUACCAAGAACAAUGCCUGGCACCUCCUAGUAGGUGCUCAAUAAAUAUUUAUUGAAUGAAUGAAUGAUUGAAUUAUGUCUGUCAUUGACAGAGGGAAGUCUGGGCAACAUAGUGAGACCCCAUCUCUACCAAAACUAAAUAAUUAGCCAGGUGUGGUGGUGCAUGCCUGUAAUCCCAGCUACUCCAGAGGCUGAUACAGGAGGAUUGCUUGGUCCCAGGAGGUAGAGGCCACAGUGAGCCAUGAUCACACUGCUGCACUCCAGCCUAGGCAACAGAGAGAGAUAUAGUCUCAAAAAAAAAAAAAAAAAAAGGAAAAGAAAAAAAGAAAAGAAAAUACAUAGGGGUGGGCAGAUUUCCCCUAAGAUGCUCUAAGGAUGCCCUCUCUAGGUGCAGGAGUCAGUCUAAAGUUACCUCCUGGGGGAAGUCUUCUGUCCAGUUUUUAAAUGGAAGUUCUAGCUGCAGGCAGCAAGUCUCAUCACUGAAUAGAACCGGUUUUCAUUUGGUGCAAACACUAUCUCCUCCAGGAAGCCCUCCCAGGACCCUUCCCAGCCCCUAGUGAAAGUGCCUCCCUCCUGCUAGCCUGCCACUUUCUCCCUUGUGGUCCAUUCUGGAUGUCAGUGCCGGGCCAGUGAGCAUCCUAGCGGGCGCCUGAGUCAUACCCGGAGUGCACCUGGAGAGCCCCUUUCUGCUCACACUUUACAGGGCCCCAUGCUGGCCUCAGACACGCCCAUCUUCUCAUUUAAGCCUUACAACAACCUUCCGAGGUAGUCAUCACCAUCCCCAUCUUACAGAUAAGGAAACUGCGGUCAGAGGCCACAGAGGUGACUUACCCGAGCCCCACACCUGGUGUCACAGUGGAGUGGAGCCUGGCUCCUUGGCCCUGAGUUCAGCCCCCAUCACAGCUGCCGAAUUCACAGUCAGUGCUCAACACGUGUUCACGUGUUUGGAGGACGAACCAAACCCGAGUUCUCGGGGCUCCCCAGCCAGCAUGAAGACCGUGUAACCACAGCACGCAUGGGCGGGCCGCUUGGCAAUGGCCAGGCUCAUGCUCUACUGAGCCCCUGGGGGUCACGACUCCCCUGCUGCUCUGUGCAGAGAAAGAAAAGGCAGUCACCUCUCUCUUCCCUCACUGGAAGACCUGGUGAGCAGGAAGUACAGGAUCGUUUUGAAUUCAGCAGAUUUUGAAUAAUGCCAGAUCAGGAGUGGAUCUCUGGGAAAAGAAGCCGGAAGAAAAGAAGUCAGAAGUCCAACCACAGCUGGAUGGACUUUUCCACAACAUAAUGUCUGCCUCUCAGACUCAUUCCAUUCACAAGUUGAUUUCUGUCUCCCUGAUCCAUUCAUUCUCCUUAAUAAUCAUUUACUGCUCCUCAAAACAAUGCUCUAUGUUUCCCAUCUCCUCGCUCCCCUGGGAAAAAGAGUACAUAAGCUUCUGUACCCCAUUGGGGGAUUGGGGUAAUCACACUGUAAUUCUCUCCCAUGAAUGUUAAUAAAUGUGUAUCCUUUUUCUCCUACUAAUCUGCCUUUUGUCAGGUGAUUUUCAGUGAACCUUCAGAAGGAAAAGGGGAAGUUUUCCCUUCACCCAUAUGCAGGCAUGUAAAGAUGUUCAUUGCAGUGCUGUUUAUAGCAGAGAAAAUGGCAAACACAAUCAAACAAUAGGGGGAUAGUUAAGAAAAAAAUGCACAGUUGCAGUUAGACUGGUCUCUACCGGCAGGGAGGUUUUUUUUCACCCUUUUUGAUUCUCACAGCAGCCCUAUGAUGUAGACAAAACCGGGUUCACAUUUAUUCUCCCCAUUAUUCAUGGGGGUGGGGGCCAGGAUGCAGACUGAGUUUUGAGAAAUUCUGGGCAGAGCUUCCAACAGGGAAUCAGAUUCUGAACUGGGACAGCUCCCAGGUGUCCUAAAGCGGAAUCCAGAGCUGACUCACAGCAGCGUGUGUCUGACAGGGGGAUCCAGCGGCAAGUCCCUACUCUUGGAUAAAGAUGAAACCACCUUUGCGAAAAUUAUGACAGAGGCCGGGCACGGUGGCUCACACCUGUUAUCCCAGCACUUUGGGAGGCCAAGGCAG